UCAUCACAGCCCUGCACAGAAGUGAAAUUAUUCAUCAUUCAGAGUCUAGUUGAAGGGUAAUGUGAGUGUCAUGCAGCACAUUUAAUGUCAUCAGCCUGCACAGCUGCUGCUAAUUAAACCCAUGAUUCUUUGUUUACUGAACGUCCCAACACUUUGUUACUUUGUCAGAGGCAACAGUGUUUUUGUGCAGAGCUGACUGUGGGUCUGUUAAGCAAGAUUAGAACCUGUGUUCCUGUGACCCAGAGGCCACCAGCACCGAUCGCUGUCUCAGACCAAAAACACCUUCUACCUCAACCCCAAACGAGUCGUCUGGCGUUCGGACCCGAACAAACCCUCCUCUAGAGACUCGUCCAGAACAUCUGGAUGACGACCUGUACUGGAGGGAAGCUUAAGCUGGAUCCUCAGAAACACAACCCACUAUGUACGGAGCAGGUACCAGACCCAUUAACAGCCUCCCCUCUCUCCUUUGUGAUCUGAGGUGUGGUUCUGGUCCAACACCAGGAGGUCUUGACUUCAAAGGCGAAGCCCAUGGUCCAGUGUUCCUUCCUUCCAACCACAGACAUGUUUGCUUAUCACGCUGCUUCUGCUGAUAGUGUCAGCGUUUAAAGUACAACCUUCAGUUUCCUCCGUCACAACUGGAAGAGAAGCACACGGAGCUGAGUAAAGCUCUCACCUGGAGACGAGUGAAGACGGAGCUGCAGCAGAAUCAAAGUGCACAGGAGCAGUGGAGACGAAACUGAAAGUGACUGAGUCAUGUCACAAAGGCCACGCGUGGAGAGCGUCCGGACUCUGGUACCGGUCUGCAUCAGGAGCUGUGAUACUCACCGUCAGCGCAGCUGCUUUGUUGCAAAUUCACGUCGAUACAAGCAGAACCAAGCAGCACCCUGAUCAUCCUGAUCAUCAGGUUCUGGCUGUUAAUGAGCACAUCCCAGAGCUUCCUGCUUCCAGACACCAGAUGACAGUUAGACACCACCAGUCACUGAGCAGGAUCGUGGAUCAACUUCCAUUGAUCUUAUUAGUAAAUGUGUAAGGAUUAAAAUCACGAGUCACUUUAAUCUGCUUCACAUGUUUAUUUCCCAUAUCGUUACUGUAGAAUGUUAAACAUGGUCUGAACUGGACUGUCGACAUUCAGGAUGUGGAACGUUCGGGCUUCAACGCAUGUUCCCACGAACUCAAAUAUUUCACAGUGACACUGUUUUAAACCAUUCUGGAGGAAGUGACAGGUUACAUCAUUAAUAACAAGAUUUGUCUGAGUUAAUGGGAAGUUAAUCAGACACGUCACACAAACACUCUGAGCUGAGACACUGUGCAAAACACCAUGGCUUCAGGAUAGAAAGUGCCAACACAACUACCUUCAUAAAUAAAGCUUAGAACAAAAGAAAAAAAA